rnacentral:lncRNA from 1 species
GGUCUAAGGUUUGCAAGACAGGAAUUUGAAAAACAAAUUCCAUCCUAUUUGUGAAUUUUCAGUCAUAAAUCUUUCAAUGCAUCCAUUCAAAACUAUUUGUUGAGUAUCGUCUGUGCACCCCUGCCUCACUACUUGAGGCACGAAGUAGUAGGUGCAGAGUCCUGAAGUAUAGAGGAGAAAGUGAAUUAAGAAAAGGCUUCAAGAAGCAUUUGAGCCAGAACUUGCAGGAAAGGCAGGAUUCCACACGUGUAAAAGUGGGUGGCCGGGCAAUUCAAGGCAAAAAGAAUAGGAUGAGAGAAGGCACCGAGGCAGGCAGGAGAGGAUAUUACAUAUCCAGAAACAAGACAAUAAUCCAGGGAGGUUCCAGAUACGGAGGCGUAGGGAAGAAGAGGUGGGGAAGUUGGGAGGGCUUUUUAUAUCUUGAAGGUGCUGGGAAGAGAUGGACUCAUAUUUAUGAGCAUCUGCAAUGUGCUAGACACAGGGUUUGGCUCUUCAAAUAAGUUAUUGUAUUUAAUGUUCACAGCAAGUGUAUGAGGUAGGAAUUACAAUUCUCAUUUAAGAGAUGAGGCUAAAUAACUUGCCCCAAAUCACCCAACUAGGAGGUUGUCGACCUAAGCUUUGAUUCCACUCUGUCUGAUUCCAAAGCUGCAGCUCUUUUCUUUCCAUUUGAGGGGAUGAUGAGGGUCUGAAUUCUGCCGUCAGCAACACUGAAGAGGCAUCCUCCCUCCCAACAGAAGACUCUUAAUUUAGUUUCACCUCAUUUGGAAGCUUCUCCAUCCACUUCAUCAUUCUAAUUGCUUUAAUAUGACAAAUUGACCAAUUACUAGCAGGUUAUUUAUAACCAUGGUGGAAUUAGUUGCUUAGUUCAAUCAAGCAACCAAAAAGUAACUGAAUUGUAAUGACUCGAUUGAUCAAACUGUUCCAAAUGGUUGGCGUGCACAUAUAUAACUCAUAUUAGAGUUAGACCAAUAUAUGCAACAGAAUAGUGGGGGAGUAUUUGACUAUUCACAAAUGACAGCUGAACCAAAAUAAUUCUAAUCCCAGCUCUAUAGCCAAGUGGACAAGUCUUAACUUUGAACACUAAAAGAUGUUCUAGAGAAAGUUCUGGGCUCUUUUUUGUUGAUAGAGAAACUGAAGCCUAGAAAGCAUAAGGGAUUUGCCAAGGUCUCCCAGCCAGAAAAUGCCGGAGCUUAGACUUGAACUAUUUGUAUUGUUUUGAUGCUGUUUUCCUACCAUGCCUGCUGCACCAUGACAUGGAGUCACUUAGCCU